GAUUUCAACUGAAAAAGUUAUCAACAACAAAGUUGAAUAACACAUCAUGAUCUGAAACUUUUAUUUUGGUCAUUUCUUCAUUCGACAAAGUGAUAGUAACAUUGUUCACAAAAUUGAUAUAUGUUUUAUGUGGUUUUAUAAAUUAUAACAUGGAUAUGUAAAUUUUGUGAACAAUAUUACUAACACUUUGUCGGAUGAAGAAAAGACAAAAAUAAAAGUUUUAGAUCUUGAUCAGUUAUACAAUUUUUUCGUUGAUGACUUUUUCAGUUGAAAUC
rnacentral:pre_miRNA from 1 species